GAUGAACGCUGGCGGCGUGCCUAAUACAUGCAAGUCGAGCGAACAUACGAGGAGCUUGCUCCUCUGACGGUAGCGGCGGACGGGUGAGUAACACGUGGAUAACCUACCUAUAAGACUGGGAUAACUUCGGGAAACCUGAGCUAAUACCGGAUAAUAUAUUGAACCGCAGGGUUCAAUAGUGAAAGACUGGUUUGCUGUCACUUAUAGAUGGAUCCGCGCCGCAUUAGCUAGUUGGUAAGGUAACGGCUUACCAAGGCAACGAUGCGUAGCCGACAUGAGAGGGUGAUCGAGCACACUGGCAGUGAGAAACGGUCCAGACUCCUACGGGAGGAAGCAGUAGGGAAUCUUACGCAAUGGGCGAAAGCCUGACGGAGCAAAGCCGCGGGAGUGAUGAAGGUCUUCGGAUCGUAAAACUCUGUUAUUAGGGAAGAACAAAUGUGUAAGUAACUAUGAACGUAUUGACGGUACCUAAUCAGAAAGCCACGGCUAACUACGUG
rnacentral:rRNA from 1 species